CCUACGGGUGGCAGCAGCAAGGAAUCUUCCCCAAUGGGCUCACGCCUGAGGGAGCAACGCCGCGUGGAGGACGACGGCCUUCGGGUUGUAAACUCCUUUUGUGGGGGACGAUACGGACGGUACCCCACGAAUCAGCCCCGGCUAACUCUGUGCCAGCAGCCGCGGUAAGACAGAGGGGGCAAGCGUUGUCCGGACUUACUGGGCGUACAGCGCGCGCAGGUGGCCAAGUAUGUGCCGUGUGACAUCCGGGGGCUCAACCCUCGGCGGCCACGGUAGACAGCUGGGCUUGAGGCAGGGAGAGGGUCGUGGAAUACCCGGUGGAGCGGUGAAAUGCGUAGAGAUCGGGUGGAACACCAGCGGUGAAGACGGCGACCUGGCCCUGAACUGACACUGAGGCGCGACAGCGUGGGGAGCAAACGGGAUUAGAUACCCUUGUAGUC
rnacentral:rRNA from 1 species